UGGGGGUGUAGCUCAGUGGUAGAGCAUUUGCCUAGCAUACAAGAGUCCCUGGGUUCAAUCCCCAGCACCACAA